AGGUUGAAGGUUGGGUAACACUAACUGGAGGACCGAACCGACUAAUGUUGAAAAAUUAGCGGAUGACUUGUGGCUGGGGGUGAAAGGCCAAUCAAACCGGGAGAUAGCUGGUUCUCCCCGAAAGCUAUUUAGGUAGCGCCUCGUGAAUUCAUCUCCGGGGGUAGAGCACUGUUUCGGCAAGGGGGUCAUCCCGACUUACCAACCCGAUGCAAACUGCGAAUACCGGAGAAUGUUAUCACGGGAGACACACGGCGGGUGCUAACGUCCGUCGUGAAGAGGGAAACAACCCAGACCGCCAGCUAAGGUCCCAAAGUCAUGGUUAAGUGGGAAACGAUGUGGGAAGGCCCAGACAGCCAGGAUGUUGGCUUAGAAGCAGCCAUCAUUUAAAGAAAGCGUAAUAGCUCACUGGUCGAGUCGGCCUGCGCGGAAGAUGUAACGGGGCUAAACCAUGCACCGAAGCUGCGGCAGCGACGCUUAUGCGUUGUUGGGUA
rnacentral:rRNA from 1 species